AAAAGAACAAACAAUAAACCACACACAAACACCUCACAUACAGUGUCAGUCCUUUAUUUUAUGUUCUCUCCUCAAUCCCACUUCAAGUCACUCUAUGUGUGGAGAUAUGAUCUAAGAGCCUUACCAUGACAGUCUGUAUAUUUGUCAAAAAACAAAACACGCAUUUUGCCAUCCUGUUAUUCAACCAUGUCAUCAUUUCAUACCAUCUCUCAGGAUUACCACACUGCACUUGUACGCAGAGGACAAUGAGCCACUGAUGUUAGCUUUAAGUUCCACAAACACGUGUGCGAAACAAGAUUGCACACAUUGUUAAGAUACUGCCUUCAAGUUGAUUUUGUGCAUCGGAAUGACCACCACACUUGGAAUAACCACCAUGCUUCUCACAGUAUACCAUUUCAUUGGGUUGGUUUGUUGAUCCAACAAGUAAACGCAACAUGUGUAAUUCUGACACUUCACGCAGAGCCACACAGGUCGUGCUCUUGGAUUUGAUGUUUAAAACAGUCCACAAGUCAAUGCAUUUGAGUUGAUGCAUUUGUUAAUACACUAUAAAUCAUUUCCUUCACACAAACAUUAGCAACUCUUGGAGCCAGUUCAAACACAUUGCAACACAAUCCCUUUUUUGAGUAUGUACACCUUCAACUGACACAGUAAUCCAUGUCAUUUACUCAUUUCAUUCUUUGUCUACUUUAGUUUUCACACAUCUUAACAAAGGAGUCCUUCAAAUAACCCCAACAGUUAUCUUGAGAGUAAGAACACCUUGUUUGUCAUUCAGAGACAGAUUCCAAAGUGUUUUGUAAGUUAGUUCAACAGUUAAGAACACCAACUUAAAACCCAACUUCCAAUGUUGAAGAUUAAAGUCCUGUCACCUUUUGGAAGACGGACUGGAAUCUGCGUCAUUAGCAGCUUGAUUUACCAGAGCUUCUGGAGCUAAAAUGUUCCCUCUUAAAAACAAUCGUUGCAUUGUUAUGAGAAGCCAGAGCCAAACCCCUUUCAUUGGCACAACAUUUGAACUACUUAAAAUCUGUCAAGAAGUGACUGUGAAACCAGGCGAACCCUUCUUCGCAUCAACACAGAGAUUAUCAAACUCCUGACUGAUGAAUCUUGUUUACUUUGAUGAUUAUCUCUCAGUUACCUGACCAGACUGCUCUCAUCUAGGCACAACAGGAAGGUGACUCAUUCCUCGUGACAGAAAAAGGAAAAAAAAAAAAAAGAGCUUCCUUUUAUAAGUGACACACCUUUUCCAUGAAAACGCCAUGUCACCAUGACUCAUGUGUACAGGUAUCAGAAGUAAAACUUUAAUUUGGCUGAAUGCCCUUAGAUCUGAAGUCUCAAUUUCACUUGGGGCAGAGUGGUAAAAUAAAAAUUUUAUGUACAACAGCUGUACAUAAAAGACACAGUAUGACAACUAAGGGGUAAAGAAAUUGGUGAAAUGCUUUCCAAUUAAUUUGUCAGAUAGUAAUAUUCAGGAGGAUAAUAAAGACGAGGAGGAGGAUGUCACAGAAGAUGAAGACUGCACACAGACGGAGAGACAGAGAGCAACAGUGUGGAGACAGAGAGGAAGGACAGCUCAGCCCCAUCAGGUAGCUGCGGUGCCACAUGCAAGUCAUGAGGACAGAGUGGCGAAAGCCAGGGAGGUACCUCUAGUGGAGAAGUAGGAAAUAUAAGUUUGCCCCGUAUUGCGAAUCUUCGCAUUGAGUAGAACAACUAAACGCACCAGACUCAGUGUGCAAGGUUUCUGUGCGUAACAAUUUUUAUUGGAUGAAGGAUUAAAAAAUGCAUACGAACCUGCACCUCAUUUCCACACAGUUUUGUUUUGUGUUUGUAUUUCUUGUAGAAUACAUGGAGAACGCCCCUUGUGUUCAACGCCAGGAAAUGCAUCUCUUUGUGGUUGGACAGACACACUACCGCAGAAAUGGCAGGAAAGUUAAUUUUGAGUGUUUUUUUGCCAUCCAAUCUUGCAGAGUAUUCACUUGGAGCAGCACAGAGACAAAAGAGGGCCAAUAAUGUAUGGUGACACAUAAGUGGAGGGGUUUGCCUACCAAACGUGUAGCCAUUUCUCCACUAUGCACACACUCUAUAUGUAAUACAGCUAGCAGGUUAUGAAUGUUAGCUAGUUAAACAUGCUGUCAAACUUUUCAAAUGAAAAAAAUGUAUAAAAAGAGCUCUAUCACAUUAAUCAGUCUGUUAGCUCAUGUUUUUAUGCAAACGUUCUGUGGUACAGUGCAUACAAUCUGUCUGAAAUCUGCCACAAAAGUAAUCAAGGCUAGAGGACUGCAUCAGGACUGGGUUCCCACAGGACCCAAUCAAAUCAUGUGGGAACGUGUGGUUUUUGUCAUACACAUAUUGAAUGAUGACAAUAAAGGUCGUUCUGUUCUAUUCUA